rnacentral:rRNA from 1 species
AAGGUUAAGCAAACGCGAAGCCGUAGCGAAAGCGAGUCUGAAUAGGGCGCUUAGUCAGAUGCUGCAGACCCGAAACGAAGUGAUCUAUCCAUGAGCAAGUUGAAGCUAGUGUAAGAACUAGUGGAGGACUGAACCCAUAGGCGUUGAAAAGCCCCGGGAUGACUUGUGGAUAGGGGUGAAAGGCCAAUCAAACUUCGUGAUAGCUGGUUCUCUCCGAAAUAUAUUUAGGUAUAGCGUUGUGUCGUAAUAUAAGGGGGUAGAGCACUGAAUGGGCUAGGGCAUACACCAAUGUACCAAACCCUAUCAAACUCCGAAUACCUUAUAUGUAAUCACAGCAGUCAGGCGGCGAGUGAUAAAAUCCGUCGUCAAGAGGGAAACAACCCAGACUACCAGCUAAGGUCCCUAAAUCUUACUUAAGUGGAAAACGAUGUGAAGUUACUUAAACAACCAGGAGGUUGGCUUAGAAGCAGCCAUCCUUUAAAGAAAGCGUAAUAGCUCACUGGUCUAGUGAUUUUGCGCGGAAAAUAUAACGGGGCUAAAGUAAGUACCGAAGCUGUAGACUUGCACACAACUUAGAUUAUUUAAGUUUAGAAUAUGAGAAACUAAGUUAUAUGUUUAGUUAUAUUUUUACUGAUUUUUAUAGAGUAAAGAUAGAAAUAAAACUUAGUAAAAUCAGUAAAAAUAUUCUUAGGCUAAAGUUAAGUAGUUUAAGUUGUGUGCAAGUGGUAGGAGAGCGUUCUAUUUGCGUCGAAGGUAUACCGGUAAGGAGUGCUGGAGCGAAUAGAAGUGAGCAUGCAGGCAUGAGUAGCGAUAAUUAAUGUGAGAAUCAUUAACGCCGUAAACCCAAGGUUUCCUACGCGAUGCUCGUCAUCGUAGGGUUAGUCGGGUCCUAAGUCGAGUCCGAAAGGGGUAGACGAUGGCAAAUUGGUUAAUAUUCCAAUACCAACAUUAGUGUGCGAUGGAAGGACGCUUAGGGCUAAGGGGGCUAGCGGAUGGAAGUGCUAGUCUAAGGUUGUAGGAGGUUAUACAGGCAAAUCCGUAUAACAAUACUCCGAGAACUGAAAGGCUUUUUGAAGUCUUCGGAUGGAUAGAAGAACCCCUGAUGCCGUCGAGCCAAGAAAAGUUUCUAAGUUUAGCUAAUGUUGCCCGUACCGUAAACCGACACAGGUGGGUGGGAUGAGUAUUCUAAGGCGCGUGGAAGAACUCUCUUUAAGGAACUCUGCAAAAUAGCACCGUAUCUUCGGUAUAAGGUGUGGUUAGCUUCGUACUAGGAUUUACUCCGAAAGCGAAGAAACUUACAACAAAGAGUCCCUCCCGACUGUUUACCAAAAACACAGCACUCUGCUAACUCGUAAGAGGAUGUAUAGGGUGUGACGCCUGCCCGGUGCUCGAAGGUUAAUUGAUGGGGUUAGCAUUAGCGAAGCUCUUGAUCGAAGCCCGAGUAAACGGCGGCCGUAACUAUAACGGUCCUAAGGUAGCGAAAUUCCUUGUCGGUUAAAUACCGACCUGCAUGAAUGGCGUAACGAGAUGGGAGCUGUCUCAAAGAGGGAUCCAGUGAAAUUGUAGUGGAGGUGAAAAUUCCUCCUACCCGCGGCAAGACGGAAAGACCCCGUGGACCUUUACUACAGCUUGACACUGCUACUUGGAUAAGAAUGUGCAGGAUAGGUGGGAGGCUUUGAGUAUAUGACGCCAGUUGUAUAUGAGCCAUUGUUGAGAUACCACUCUUUCUUAUUUGGGUAGCUAACCAGCUUGAGUUAUCCUCAAGUGGGACAAUGUCUGGUGGGUAGUUUGACUGGGGCGGUCGCCUCCCAAAUAAUAACGGAGGCUUACAAAGGUUGGCUCAGAACGGUUGGAAAUCGUUCGUAGAGUAUAAAGGUAUAAGCCAGCUUAACUGCAAGACAUACAAGUCAAGCAGAGACGAAAGUCGGUCUUAGUGAUCCGGUGGUUCUGUGUGGAAGGGCCAUCGCUCAAAGGAUAAAAGGUACCCCGGGGAUAACAGGCUGAUCUCCCCCAAGAGCUCACAUCGACGGGGAGGUUUGGCACCUCGAUGUCGGCUCAUCGCAUCCUGGGGCUGGAGCAGGUCCCAAGGGUAUGGCUGUUCGCCAUUUAAAGCGGUACGCGAGCUGGGUUCAGAACGUCGUGAGACAGUUCGGUCCCUAUCUGCCGUGGGCGUAAGAAGAUUGAAGAGAUUUGACCCUAGUACGAGAGGACCGGGUUGAACAAACCACUGGUGUAGCUGUUGUUCUGCCAAGAGCAUCGCAGCGUAGCUAAGUUUGGAAAGGAUAAACGCUGAAAGCAUCUAAGCGUGAAGCCAACUCUAAGAUGAAUCUUCUCUAAGCUCUCUAGAAGACUACUAGUUUGAUAGGCUGGGUGUGUAAUGGAUGAAAGUCCUUUAGCUGACCAGUACUAAUAGAGCGUUUGGCUUAUCUUUAAUAAAGCAU